GGUCCCUUACACACCAGUGUGUUUCUGCUCAGAACCAAACCCUGAGGCAGAGAGAGGCAACAAGGCAGGCAGAGUGAGGGAAACGGAAAUUUCAGAAAACACCCAGCCCCAGAGGUGAGACACUGAAUCAAUUAACCGAAUAAUCAAUUAUCUGAUCGAAAUAUUGCCCGCCCAUCUCAUUAGGAUAAUCAAGGUUCCUCUGUACUCUGAUCAUGGCCAACCAAUCAGCACCCUUUUCCACGGGCUUUAUAAACCGAUGUUCCCUUCAGGAUUUGGCAUUCUUGUGUGUGUGUCCUGAAGAAUGAAAAGAUGAAAACUUUCGAGUGCAGCUUUUUGUUUCGCUUCAGUCAUAUUCAAGUUCUGUACUGCGAUGCCACUACCCUUUAUUGAAACUUUCCACUAGUUUAGCUAAUACCCUUUUUGUUAAGGCAACCUUUGAAUGAUCUAGAGGAGAAGAGUCCAAUGGAUCCAGGGAAUGUUCCUCCGACAGUGGAAAAAGUCAUCGGAGAGGAAUGAUGAGCUUCCAGGCCUCGCCGAAUCUCUGCUGGAAAAGAAUCCUGAGCAUCGUGACAUCUCGGACAGGCAGAGAAACGCCAAAGUUAGACAGACCAGAACCUUAAACCUCUGUAUUAUAAAAUAAAGAUUUUAAUUUCAGUUUCUCAAUGCUAUUCAACAUGAAACCUCCAAUGUCUAUAACCUUACUGAAACAAUUAUUGGCCAAGCCGCCACAGGACAAGUUGGACCUGCCCUUUGCACUACUAUUGGUGGAUUGUUUGCUUAAAACUUACUUCUCUAUUUGAACGAAAUAAAAGCUGCUCAUUUUGCUA